GGAGAGAUGGCUGAGUGGUCGAAAGCAACGGUUUGCUAAAUCGUCGUACCCCAAAAGGGUACCGGGGGUUCGAAUCCCCCUCUCUCCGCCA
rnacentral:tRNA from 1 species